GAUGUAGCUUAAUGGCAGAGCCCUUGGCUAGCAUACAUGAGGACCUGAGUUCGAUUCCUAGCAUC
rnacentral:tRNA from 1 species